rnacentral:tRNA from 1 species
AGAAAGUUAGUCUAACUACAAGACGGUCGACUUCGGCUCGACAAAUUAUAGCAAACACUAUAACUUUCUU